UUUUCGCCCCCUUUUGCUUAUUUUAGUUUAUCUUACGAGUUUCUAUUGCGCAUUAUAUAACAAAAGUUUUGCAACGAUGGAAACAAGGAGAAACAAGGAGAUUGGAAUGUCAACAAGGAGAACAAAGAAAGAACCAUCGUUUGCGAUUGGUUUGAUCAACUUUCGCAGCGUGAAACAAAUGCAAAUUUAUUUCAUGCAGUUAGGUUUCUGCUGCAAAACCUCAAAGUUAAUUCUACAACUGUGUCAGCUGCAUGGAACUGGAAGGAAUAAAACAUGUUGCAGUGUGAAAGAAAGAAACUCGCACUCAAACCAGUGUGCCGGGGGUUCAUCCCAUAUGAUUCAACAGUUUAUUAUUACAGUUUGAAGUACAUAUCGAAACUCAGCUCUUUUCUGUGUGGCCUUGUUUACCCUUGGCUUAUGAUAACCAUGGAACAGAUGGUGUCUCUACAGUCACAAACAAAGAAGAUUGCUCAUGCUGGUCGGAACGGAGACGCCGGAAAGUAAAUUUCAUUCUUUUCAUGUUGCUGUUGACAUAUUUUGCCAAACAAAGCUAGUCAAUAUUCAAUGCCCAUUGAAAAUAUUGCUAUAGCCCUGCACCGUUUGGAUAAACUGGCCAACUCCCACGCCCUUCGCUUCUACCCUAUUAGUAGCUGCACAACCGCUUCAAGGAUCUAACAGCCCAAGAUAAACACUAGAUCUCAGAGCACCACUAAUUACCUCUGCCCACAUCCAUCAAGUCCACUUACUAUAGCGGAGUGUAUAAACAAAGUUGAUGUACAUCUAAACGAACGUCCUCAAUCAUAACAAAAGAUACUUACGUUUCCCGAACACGUAAAAUAACAACAAUAAGAGCGAACGAAAAACUAAAGCUGGGUAACAGUCAAGAGGUUUCAAAAGUGCCCAGGAUAGACGAAAAAGAGAACAUAACCGGCGCUGCGUUAGCGGAGUAAGCCAGUGUAAAAAUGACCCAGUAGCAAAACGUCACGAUAAGACAACGUAAAACCCAUCGAUAAGAACACCGAUUAGAACCCGCUCUUGUACAGCCUGAAACACUGUUAUAUCGGCGCUCUUUGCGGGAAUUCUUCAUAGGAGUGACUAGUGACACCGCCUACAUCUAUUUUUACAUAUAGGGAAAUGAAAGGCUGGAAUUACAAUAACGAUCAACUCAACUGUUUAAUUGUUUUAAUAAUCGGGUUGAGUGAUGCACUGUCUAUCCGAGAUUCAAACAGAACAGGUACACCUUAUGACUUCGCAUUUGAACACGGAGAAAGAUGGAAUAAAAAAGGACAUUGGUAAGCUCAUAAAACGUUUUCAACUGAAAUUUGAAAGAUUGUGCAAACACUUGACGAAGCUUAUACAACAACAGUGAUUUUUCCUUGACAGUGAUGAAUCGAGGGUGAGUAAGCCCUGCCGAAAAAUGAUUACACUAAACUGGUAAUAAAUGCUUAAACCAUCAA